GAUGAAGAACGUAGUGAAAUGCGAUACGUAAUGUGAAUUGCAGAAUUCAGUGAAUCAUCGAGUCUUUGAACGCACAUUGCGCCCCCUGGUAUUCCAGGGGGCAUGCCUGUCCGAGCGUCAUUGCUGCCCUCAAGCACGGCUUGUGUGUUGGGCCUCCGUCCUCCUCCCGGGGGACGGGCCCGAAAGGCAGCGGCGGCACCGCGUCCGGUCCUCGAGCGUAUGGGGCUUCGUCACCCGCUCUUGUAGGCCCGGCCGGCGCUUGCCGACACAUCAAUCUUUUUUCCAGGUUGACCUCGGAUCAGGUAGGGAUACCCGCUGAACUUAAGCAUAUCAAUAAGCGGAGGA
rnacentral:misc_RNA from 1 species